rnacentral:rRNA from 1 species
UUUGAAAGGGAAACGAUUGAAGUCAGUCGUACCUUCGGGUAAUCAGCCUUUCGGGUGCGAUUCUGUGGAGUGUGAGGAGCUUAAACACCUUCAUGUUUUGCAUAUUCGUACUCUUGGGUGUACUUGCCCGUGUGGUUGGUUAACAUCAAUUUUGGUGGUCAUAAAAUGACUGGGGGAAUGUAGCUUCGAUCUUGUAUUGAAGUGUUAUAGCCUUCGGUAGAUGUGAUGAUCGAGAUUGAGGAUUGCAACGGAUACCCUUCGGGGCUACCUGUCUGGUCUCUGAUCGUUGCUCUGGUGCCGAAAGCUUGCUUACGGUUAUCAAAGUCGA